GGUUCGCUAGCUCAGCUGGUAGAGCACAUCACUUUUAAUGAUGGGGUCGAUGGUUCGAAUCCAUCGCGAGCCACCA
rnacentral:tRNA from 1 species